rnacentral:rRNA from 1 species
CAUGCAAGUCGAGCGGAUGAAAGGAGCUUGCUCCUGGAUUCAGCGGCGGACGGGUGAGUAAUGCCUAGGAAUCUGCCUGGUAGUGGGGGACAACGUUUCGAAAGGAACGCUAAUACCGCAUACGUCCUACGGGAGAAAGCAGGGGACCUUCGGGCCUUGCGCUAUCAGAUGAGCCUAGGUCGGAUUAGCUAGUUGGUGAGGUAAUGGCUCACCAAGGCGACGAUCCGUAACUGGUCUGAGAGGAUGAUCAGUCACACUGGAACUGAGACACGGUCCAGACUCCUACGGGAGGCAGCAGUGGGGAAUAUUGGACAAUGGGCGAAAGCCUGAUCCAGCCAUGCCGCGUGUGUGAAGAAGGUCUUCGGAUUGUAAAGCACUUUAAGUUGGGAGGAAGGGUUGUAGAUUAAUACUCUGCAAUUUUGACGUUACCGACAGAAUAAGCACCGGCUAACUCUGUGCCAGCAGCCGCGGUAAUACAGAGGGUGCAAGCGUUAAUCGGAAUUACUGGGCGUAAAGCGCGCGUAGGUGGUUUGUUAAGUUGGAUGUGAAAUCCCCGGGCUCAACCUGGGAACUGCAUCCAAAACUGGCAAGCUAGAGUAUGGUAGAGGGUGGUGGAAUUUCCUGUGUAGCGGUGAAAUGCGUAGAUAUAGGAAGGAACACCAGUGGCGAAGGCGACCACCUGGACUGAUACUGACACUGAGGUGCGA